CUCGCACGAGACAGAGUAUCUCUCUUCUCUUCCCUUCUGUUUUUCAUUUCUUCUUCGAUUUUGACCUAACGGCUGUGCCUGUGGGUGGCUGCUCAAAUCUUCAAUCCAGAGCUGCACCUCUGCUGCGGCUGCGCCUGUGGCUGCUGCGACAGCAUCUGUGCCGCUUCCGCAUCGAUUUCACGAUCUCCCGCCCAGGCCUAGGUAUCAUCCCUUCUCUCUCUCUCUCUCUCUCUCUCUCUCUCUCUCUCUCUCUCUCUCAAGUCGACCUCAGCCUAACCCACAUCACCCCUCUCUGUUUCAGGCACAUACAACACAAACCCGAUCAAGAGCCGCCACAACCACCUCCAUUGCCGAAGGUAAAUUCUCUCGUCUGUGCAUUGUAGGGUUUUUAUUUUUAUUUUUUGUUUGCUUUGAAAUUUAUCUAUAUAUCAGAAUGAUAUAUGCUAUGGGAGCUAUGGGAAGUGUUUUCUAUUAAAUCAGAAGUGUGCGGUGAUGAGGCUAUUUAUGGACUAGAGUUUAUGAUCUGGGUUCUUCUCCCAAAAGUUUGAUUACAAACCCUUGGCUGUCUGAGCACUCUUAAUCUGUUUUCUCUUGUCUGGCAAAACCCAUAAAAAUUUUCUCAAAUUUAUUGGCUUUUUUUUGGCUGUAAAAUCAGACUCAGAGACAGAGAGAGAGAGAGACAGAGUGGGAAGCGUAUUCUCACCAUUUGAUCCCUGCCGUUUCAUCUGUGAUCUCAUCCUCCUUCUCAAUGUCUUCUCUGGUACUUCUCUCUGGGUUUUGACUAUCAUUUCUUGUAUUAUCAUCUUCCAUUUUCAGUUUUAUUCCCUCUUUUUUGUGGUUUUCAUUUCAUGCCAAUACGAUAAGAAUUAGAGCGAUCGGAGCCGACCCAAAGGACCCUGCUUUCUUUUCUUUAAUACUAUAUGUUUUCUUCUCCCUAGGCGAUUGUUCUUUCUGGGUUUGGUUUCUUUUUAGUUUCUUUUCCUGGGUUGGGUCAUUUUGCUAUCGAAUCAUUUAAAAAGAAAUGAAUUUGGUUGGUUUUUGGCAAACAUUGCAAAGAUCCUCAGUUGGGUAUUUUCAGAAUUAAGCCCAGUGCAAGGAAUUGGCUUGGGUGAUUUUUCCCAAGUUUCGCAUUUUCCUUUUUCUUUUUGUUGUGUUUUAUGAGCUUAUCAUUUACUCUCCUACCCAUAUCAUGGGUUGUAGGUUGUGCAUGGGAAGCAUUACUAUUGCAGAUGUUUAGUCCUGCUUGCAUUGUUGCUCGAUUUAUUAUUUUGUAGUUUUUCUCCGUUCUUUUAUCUUUUGAAAAGGUUAGACUAUGGACAUUUGAUUGAGGGCUAUAAUAGCACUUGAUGUUGCAUUCUUGUUCCUGUGGUGAUUUUCCUCGGUAUAGCUUUAUAAUUCUGCAUCUCAUUUGGGCUAGCAAAUUGCCUCUCAUUUUGUUUUUGUUUUGUUUUUUCUAAAGUUGUUGUUACAACAUUCUGUUGGGUAUUUGCAAUCCCCCUAGAAUCACUGACAAAUCAAUGGCCGUUUGUAGCAGUGACCAUUGUUCUUUAGGUUGUGUGCACCACUUAGAUUCAUAGGCUGCACUGUUUCCAGUAAGUAACUUCUACAGUAAGUAACUUCUGCACUAUUUUGUAGAAAUGGGGAGUAAAACAUCCAUGACAAAUUUGAAUAAGACUCUCCCUUCUUAGUGUGAUUAAGAUAUGUUGGAAGGUAUUUUUAUUGCAUCUUAUUUUAAUUAUGAUUUGUUGAUGGUGAAACUUUGUGUUAAUUCUUUUAAGUGUUGUGUAGGUUGCUUUGUGAAGGCUUUUGGAAGAAUGGAUGCAGCAUAUUUUUUUGCAAGGAUAUUAUCUCUAUGUGUAUUUUUGUGAUGGGUUGUAAUCUUUAAUGUCAUAAGUUUAAUUUGGUUGGUGUAUUAUUUUUUGUAAUGGUUUGUAAGAGAUUAUAUUUCCUUUCCUUGGUUGGUUGGUUGAAUGUGUGUGUGAGAUUUAUUUAGUCUAGAAACUUAGAUUGGAAUGAUGGAUUUUUAU
rnacentral:lncRNA from 1 species